UACGUAGGGUGCAAGCGUUGUCCGGAAUUAUUGGGCGUAAAGAGCUCGUAGGCGGUUUGUCGCGUCUGCUGUGAAAACGCGAGGCUCAACCUCGCGCCUGCAGUGGGUACGGGCAGACUAGAGUGCGGUAGGGGAGAUUGGAAUUCCUGGUGUAGCGGUGGAAUGCGCAGAGUAUCAGGAGGAACACCGAUGGCGAAGGCGGGUCGUCUGGGCCGGGAACUGA
rnacentral:rRNA from 1 species